rnacentral:tRNA from 1 species
UAGCUCAGUCGGUAGAGCAUGAGACUCUUAAUCCCAGGGUCGUGGGUUCGUGCCCCAC